CUCUACAAAAUAGAGUUAUUUUACCACAUUUUAUAAGCCAAUUGUUGCUUAGUUCUUGAGUUUUAAAUUAAUUUAUCAAUUUUUUAAGUAAUUUUGAAUUUAUUAGUUUUAUUUUGAUUUUAUGUAUUUUUAUUUAAUUUUUGUAUUUAUUUUGUUUAAUUAUGUUGUUACUAAUUUAUGUGUGUUUAAUUUCUGUAUGUAGGUGUAUUUGUUGGAGCAAAUGAAAUGUUGAUAAAAUGUUGGUAUAAAGAAAUGAAAAAAGCAAGCCCAAAAUGAAAGGCCCAAUCCAAUUCUUGACAAUGCCAUGUCAUCAAUCCAUGUGCUUCUUUCUCCACCAUUGGAUUUGUAACUAUAGGAAAAGAUGACAAUUUUGAGCAUGAAUCCAUGUGCUUUUUUUUAGACCAAUAGGAGUGUUAUCCUUUACCAAAGAAUUUAUCUAUAAAUAGGAGUCUCAUUUCACCAUUUCAAGCACACCUUCUCUUACACCACUUCUUCCAUCUCUCUAUUCUCUCCAUCUUUUUCUUUUCUUAGAUUAGUUUUUAUGUAUUUUUAGAGGAAUAAUUUGGAGGUUCCUCCUCCAAAUUUUCCUAUUUAUGUUGUAAUUUUUAUUUUGUUUUUGAUAGUUAUGGGUUUCUAAUCCACUUAAAAUUAUUAAGGUGGAGGAUGAACCAAGAUAUAACUAUAUAGUGUUUAUUUUAUGUUGACCUCCCAAAAUGAGCAAUAAAGUUUAUGAUUUUUCUUCUUCUAAAUAUUUCUUUCAUCUAUAAUAUCAUGUAUUUUAGAUUGUUAGAACAUAUUUUACUUGGUUCUUAAUUGUGGAAAAACAUAGUAUUCUUUGAUUAAGAUGUGUCAUUAAAUUGUUCACAUCCAAUGCUUAGAACAAAAAUACUAUAUUUUGCUUUAGAAAUAACAUUAUUUGAUUUUUUUGUAGUUUCAUUAAAUUGAUUCACAACUAAUGCUUUGAAGUUAUACUAUUGAAGUGAAGGAAAAUCUAUAUUUUUUGAAUUAAAGAGAGCUUAAAGGAAGAAUAAUGUUUUGGAAAAGGUAAUUAGAUUAAUUUCAAUUAUCACUAAAAAUUGGGAAGUCAACAUAUUAAUAAAUAUUAUUAUUUAUAUUUUGUGGAUUCUAAAAUCUUAAUAAUUUUAUAAAUAACUAUUAAAAACAAAUCUUUUUAGUUUAUUUAUUUUAAUUUUUUUUAGUAUUUUCUUUCUUUAUUUUAAAACAAAACACAUUAAUCUUUGGAACUAGGUUAGAAAUUUAUUUCACUUUGGUAAAAAUAGUUUUCUCUUUUGAUUUAAGUCAACUCCUUUGGGUUCGACCUCGUGCUUACACGAAAACUAUUCUAUAAAUACGAUUCGUGCGCUUGCGAGUAUAAAUAUUUAAACAUACCCGUUUUGGGUCCAUCAAGUUUUUGGCGCCGUUGCCGGGGAGUUGCAAAUAAGAGAAACAAUUUGUGUCAAGGUGUAUUUGUUGGAGCAAAUGAAAUGUUGAUAAAAUGUUGGUAUAAAGAAAUGAAAAAAGCAAGCCCAAAAUGAAAGGCCCAAUCCAAUUCUUGACAAUGCCAUGUCAUCAAUCCAUGUGCUUCUUUCUCCACCAUUGGAUUUGUAACUAUAGGAAAAGAUGACAAUUUUGAGCAUGAAUCCAUGUGCUUUUUUUUAGACCAAUAUGAGUGUUAUCCUUUACCAAAGAAUUUAUCUAUAAAUAGGAGUCUCAUUUCACCAUUUCAAGCACACCUUCUCUUACACCACUUCUUCCAUCUCUCUAUUCUCUCCAUCUUUUUCUUUUCUUAGAUUAGUUUUUAUGUAUUUUUAGAGGAAUAAUUUGGAGGUUCCUCCUCCAAAUUUUCCUAUUUAUGUUGUAAUUUUUAUUUUGUUUUUGAUAGUUAUGGGUUUCUAAUCCACUUAAAAUUAUUAAGGUGGAGGAUGAACCAAGAUAUAACUAUAUAGUGUUUAUUUUAUGUUGACCUCCCAAAAUGAGCAAUAAAGUUUAUGAUUUUUCUUCUUCUAAAUAUUUCUUUCAUCUAUAAUAUCAUGUAUUUUAGAUUGUUAGAACAUAUUUUACUUGGUUCUUAAUUGUGGAAAAACAUAGUAUUCUUUGAUUAAGAUGUGUCAUUAAAUUGUUCACAUCCAAUGCUUAGAACAAAAAUACUAUAUUUUGCUUUAGAAAUAACAUUAUUUGAUUUUUUUGUAGUUUCAUUAAAUUGAUUCACAACUAAUGCUUUGAAGUUAUACUAUUGAAGUGAAGGAAAAUCUAUAUUUUUUGAAUUAAAGAGAGCUUAAAGGAAGAAUAAUGUUUUGGAAAAGGUAAUUAGAUUAAUUUCAAUUAUCACUAAAAAUUGGGAAGUCAACAUAUUAAUAAAUAUUAUUAUUUAUAUUUUGUGGAUUCUAAAAUCUUAAUAAUUUUAUAAAUAACUAUUAAAAACAAAUCUUUUUAGUUUAUUUAUUUUAAUUUUUUUUAGUAUUUUCUUUCUUUAUUUUAAAACAAAACACAUUAAUCUUUGGAACUAGGUUAGAAAUUUAUUUCACUUUGGUAAAAAUAGUUUUCUCUUUUGAUUUAAGUCAACUCCUUUGGGUUCGACCUCGUGCUUACACGAAAACUAUUCUAUAAAUACGAUUCGUGCGCUUGCGAGUAUAAAUAUUUAAACAUACCCGUUUUGGGUCCAUCAGGGAAUUAUAAGCUUGAUCAUUAUAAGCUUACCAAACACUUGGGAAGUAAGGUUUUAUAGCAUUUCGGUUCAAGGUUUAGAUUGGCUAUAGAAGCAUUCAAGGAAAUCUAAGAACUUGCACAUAAGUUUUUGGAGUGUUCCAAAGUCCCAAAAUCUGUUCUCAUAUCCCAGUAAUUUGGAAAAUAGCUUUAGUGGCAGGAAAGGUUCUUGGUAGUUUUGGGCAUGUGUAUUGAGGCGGAAUGGAUUCAAAGAGCCAAGAGUUUCGAUUCGAGGAUGAAGUCUUUACUUAUGUUUUUAUGUGCAUUUUUCCGCACUUACUUAUGUAAUCUCUUUUAAUUACAAUUAUGUUAUGUUUUGAUUUUAAAACAAUGGGAUCCCAUAUCCUAACUUAAAUUUUAUGUAAGUUUAACCUUUAUUUUACAAGUUUUUAAUAAAGUUAUGAUCUUUUC